UGCGCAGGCGACUUAUUAAGUCAGUGGUGAAAUCUCUCGGCUCAACCGAGAAACUGCCAUUGAAACUGAUAAGCUUGAGUGUAGUUGUAGUAGGCGGAAUAUAGCAUGUAGCGGUGAAAUGCUUAGAUAUGCUAUAGAACACCGAUCGCGAAGGCAGCUUACUAAACUAUUACUGACGCUCAUGCACGAAAGCGUGGGGAGCAAACAGGAUUAGAUACCCUGGUAGUCC
rnacentral:rRNA from 1 species